GAAAAUACAAAAGCACUACUGUUUAACAGGAAAGUUACUAUCCAGAAAUUAACCCACAAAGGUGGGAAGAGUAUUUACCCGCUAAUCUCUUUAUUCCCUCGCCUGACAAAAUAUCUGCAUUCCUGGGCGGCCUCAAGAAAUGAACUACAGACAUCUAUUCCCUUUGUGAUACCUCCUUGGAAUCAAAGUGUGGAGUGUAACAAUGUGCCUCCACACACUCACACUAGUUGAUGCUUCAUCUUGGUGAAAUCAAGUUUUUGGAAUUACCUUUCCUAAGAUCAUUCUAUUCACAGAGAAGGAGCUUAAUGUAAGUGAAAUUUUGUAAAAACCAAAGGAAACUAUGGUGGAUGUAUUCUAGACAGAAGAAGGAUUAAACCAAGAUAAAAACAAUGUGAAUGAGGAAAGUGGGAGUAACAGGGAUUCCAAGAGAAAGAUGCUGUGAGAAUGGGUAGCCAUCGAAAGCAAUUCUGUUCAUCAGACAAGAGUUCUUGCUAUUUACACCACAUCUGCAGUGACUUCCUCCACUGAAGUAUUGAACCUUUAAAGUCAUCCAUGAAGGUUGAAAUCAACUUCUUCCAAACUCCUCAUAGGAUUGAUAUUUUGACCUCCUCCCAUAAACGACAAAUUUUCUGAAUGUCAUCUAAAAUGGCAAUUUUUUUCCAGAAGGUUUUCAACUUUGCCCAGAUCCAUUAGAGGAAUCACUGUAGCAGUUAUAUCCUUAAUAAAUGUAUUUGUAAAAUAAUAAUACUUGAAAGUCAAAAUUACUCCUUAACUGUGGGCUACAGGAUAGAUGUUGUGUUAGCAGUCAUGAAAAAAACAUUAAUCUCCUUGAACAUCUUCAUCAGAGCUCUUGGGUAACCAGGUGCAUUGUCAGUGACCAGGAAUAUUUUGAAAGGAAUUUCAAAAGGUCUCAACAGUAAGGCUUAAAAUAUUCAAUAAACCAUACUGUAAACAGAUGUGUUGUCAUCUAGGCUUUGUUAUUUCAUUUCUAGAACAAAUGCAGAGUAUAUUUAGCAUAAUUCUUAAGGACCCCAGUAUUUUCAGAAGGGCUAAUGUGUAUCGUCUUCAUCUUAAAGCCACCAACUGUAUUAGCUCCUAAAAAGAGAGUCAGCCUGUUCUUUGAAGCUUUGAAGCUAGGCAUUGACUUCUUCUCUCUAGCUACAAAAGUUCUAGAGGGCAUCUUCUUCCAAUAGAAGGCAUUUUGGUCUACAUUAGAAAUCUGUUGUUUAGUGUAGCCAUGUUCAUCAAUUAUCUUAGGCAGGAGAACUUCAGCUGGAGAACUUGCUGUAGCUUCUUGCACUUGCUUCACUUGCACUUUUAGGUUGGAGACGGUUUUAUAAAGAUAAUUUAUUUUCUUAAAUCCCAUGAAUCAACACCUACUAGCUUUAAACUUUUCUCUUCAGCUUCCUCACCACUCUCAGACUUCAUAGAAUUGAAGAGGUUAAGGCCUUGUUCUGGAUUAAGCUUUGGCUUAAGGAAAUGUUGUGGCUGAUUUGAUCAUUUUUAUUCAGACCACUCAAAAUUUCUCCAUUAAGCCAUAGGCUGUUUUGCUUUCUUAUAAUUUGUGUGUUCACUGGAGUCACACUUUUAUUUUUUAGAGACAAGUUCUUGCUCUAUUGCCCAGGCUGCAGUGCAGUGACACAAUCAUAGCUCACUGCAACCUUGAACUCCUGGGCUCAAGUGAUCCUCCUGCCUCAGCCUCCCAGGUAGCUGGGACUAUAGACAUGCACCACCAUACUUGGCUUAUUUUUUUUAAAUAAGUCUUCACUAUGUUGCCCAGGCUGGUCUUGAACUCCUGGUCUCAAGGAAUUUCCCCACCUUAGCCUCCCAAAACUCUAGGAUUACAGGCAUAAGCCACCACACCUGUCCUGGAGUAGCACUUUUAAUUUCCAUCAAGAACUUUUCCCUUGCAUCCACAACUUGGCUACUUGUUGCAAGAGGCCUAGCUUUCAGCCUAUCCUGACUUUCAACAUGCCUUCCUCACUAAGCUUAGUCAUUUCUAGCUUUUGAUUUAAAGUGAGAGCCAUGUGGCUCUUCCUUUCACUUGAACACUUCGAGUCCAUUGUAGAGCUAUUAAUUGCCCUAAUUUUUUUAUUGUUGUUUUAAUAUUUGCUACUACCACCAAGAUCUGCGCCUGCAGUGGCUCCACCCAGGCCCAUGUUCUAUUAAGGGACAUUGCAAUGGCCCUUCUACUCAUCUUGGCAUAGUGUCUUUAGGCUUGGGAGAUCUGAGCACUGCUCUGUCCUUCCUGCUCUAGUCCCUCUACUAGCAAUGGCUGCAUAUUGGCUCAACUCCUCAGCACCAUCCAUUUUCAGGGACAGUUGAGUAGUCAGUUGAGUUGUUAUACACUCCUUAGUGGAUUCUGACUUCCAUGGUCACUGUACUGUUGUAUAAUCAACUAUCCUAAUUUCAACAUUGUUGUGUCUCAGGGAAUAGGGAGGCCUGAAGUUAAGGAGAGACAUGGAGCAAUGAUCAAUCAGUUGAGCAAUCAAAACACACACAACAAUUAUCAAUGAAGUUUACUGUCUUAUAUGGGCAUGUUUUCUGGUGCCACAAAACAAUUACAAUAGUAACAUCAAAGGUCACUGAUCACAAAUCACCGUAACAGAUAUAAUAAUAGUGGAAGUUUGAAAUAUUGCAAGAAUUACCAAAAUGUGUCACAAAGACCUGAUGGACUUGCUAGAGGCAAGGCUGCCAAAAACUUUCAAUUUGUUAAAUAUGCAAAAUCUGCAUGGUAAAAUAAAGCAUAGCACAAUAAAAAGAAAUAUGCAUGUAUACACUAUUUAUAAUGUAUAUCCCUACAUAUAAUAUAUAUCAAUAUAUAAUAAAUGUACGUAUUGUUACAUAUUUGCAAAUAUAUAUGGUGAAAUAUAUCCAUGAGUUGCCAAAUCUGUUUUCACAACAUUAUGAACCUUCAAAAACAUGCCCAGCAAGGAGUCAUGAUGGCUGUGCAUACCCACGAACAGGGUUGAUUAGAAACAACUGUUUCAUUUACACAACACUGGGUCAUAUGACAAAUAAAUAACAGCAACCUGCCUAUUUUUAAAAUUUUGACAUCUUGCUUCUCAUGAAUUUUUUUAAUUUUUGAUUUUUUAAAUUCAUUGCCUUAACUAUUAUUUAGCCUGAUUACUGAGUUUUUGGCACCACUUUUAAAAAAAUAACUCAUUUAUUUUGAAAUGAUUUUCAUUGUAUAUAUUUAUGGGGUACAACAUGACUUUUUCAUAUAUGUAUACAUAAUGGAACAAUUAAUCAAAGUAAAUAACAUAUCUUCACCUCAUAAACAUCUUUUCUGUGGUUAGAACAUUUAAAAUCUACUUUCUUAGCACUUUUCAAGUAUGUAGCACAUUAUUAUUAACUAUAGUCACUCUGCUGUAUAACAAAAUAAAUGUCCAGAACUUAAUCAUCUUGUUUAACUGAAUCUUUCUAUAUUUUGACAAACAUCUGUCCUUGUUCCCAGCCUAUGAAAAGAAUACCCUACUCUUUUGAGUUCAACUUUUUCAGAUUCUACAUAAAAGUGAGAUCAUACAGUAUUUUUUUCUGUGCCUAGCUUAUUUUACUUAGCAUAAUAUCCUGCAGAUACAUCCAUAGUAUCUCAAAUAGCAAGAUACCCUUUUUUCUAAGGCUGAAUCUUAUUCCAUUGUGUGUAUCCGUCCCAUUUUCUUUAUCCAUUCAUCCAUCAAGAGAUAUUAUUUUAUUGUCAUAUCUUGGCUAUGAAUAAUAGUUCGCUAUUAAGAAUAAUGCUGCAAUGAACAUGAGGCUGUAGAUACCUCUGUGACAUAACUGAUUUCAUUUCCUUUGGAUAUACACACAGAAGUGGAAUUGCUGGAUUAUGUGGUAGUUUUAUUUUUAAUUUUUGAGAAACCUCCAUACUACUUUUCAUAAUGGCUAUACUAAUUUACAUUCCCACAAACAGUGUGCAAGGGUUCCCUUUUCUCUACAUAUUUGCCAAUAUUUGUCUUUUGUAUUUUAAUAAAUGCUAUUCUCACAGGUGUGAAGUGAUAGCUCAUUCACACCUGUGAAUUUGCAUUCCCCUGAUGAUUAGUGAUGUGAAAUAUUUUUUUUUUUGUAUACUUAUUGGCCUUUUGAUUCUCUUCUUUUGAAAAAUAUUUAUUAAAGUUCUGUGCCCAUUUUUUAAUCAGUUUGUUUGUUUUCUUGCAUAGAGUUGAGUUCCUUAUAUAUUUUUUAAAUUAACCCUUUAUCAAAUAUAUUGUUGGUAUAGUUUGAAUAUUUGUCCCCACCCAAAUUUCAUGUUGAAAUGUAAUCCCAGUGUUGGAGUUGGACCCUGGUAGCAGGUGUUUGGAUCAUUGGGGAGGAUCCCUCAUGAAUGGCUUGGGCCGUCUCUUUGGUGAUAAGUGAGUUCUGGCUCUGAGUUCACAUAAGAUCUGGUCAUUUACAACUGUACAACAGCUCCUGGCUACUCUUUCUCUCACUUGCCACUGCCGUAUGGUGUUCCUACUCCCCCUUUGCCUUCCACCAUGAUUGUAAGCUUCCUGAAGCCUCCCCAGAGGCUGAGCAGAUACCAGCACCAGGCUUCCUGUAAAGCCUGCAGAACUGUGAGCCAAUUAAAUCCUUUUUCUUUAUAAAUUACCCAGUCUCAGACAUUUCUUUAGAUCAAUGUGAGUGAGCUAAUACAAUGGUUUACAAAUACUUUCUCUUGUUAAACAGGUUGUCUCAUGAAUAGCUUGUUGAAUGUUUCCUUUGGUGUGCAGAAGCUCUUUAGUUUGAUGUAAUCCCAUUGCUUUAUUUUUCCUUUUGCUGUCUGUGCUUUUGUGAUAAUAUUCAAUAAAUCUUUGCUAAUACCAAUAUCAUGGAGCUUUUCCUCUAGUUUUUG
rnacentral:lncRNA from 1 species